rnacentral:rRNA from 1 species
AGUGAACGCUGGCGGUAGGCCUAACACAUGCAAGUCGAACGAGUGGCGGACGGGUGAGUAAUACAUCGGAAUCUACCCUGUCGUGGGGGAUAACGUAUGGAAACUUUCGCUAAUACCGCAUACGAUUGCAUGUGCCGAUGUCGGAUUAGCUAGUUGGGGGGGUAAAGGCCAACCAAGGCGACGAUCCGUAGCUGGUCUGAGAGGAUGACCAGCCACACUGGAACUGAGCCACGGUCCAGACUCCUACGGGAGGCAGCAGUGGGGAAUAUUGGACAAUGGGCGCAAGCCUGAUGCAGCCAUACCGCGGGGGUGAAGAAGGCCUUCGGGUUGUAAAGCCCUUUUAUUGGGAAAGCGGUACCCAAAGAAUAAGCACCGGCUAACUUCGUGCCAGCAGCCGCGGUAAUUC